UGGAGAUCGACUUCUCCAGACCCGGAAAGCCAACGGACAACGCAUUUUGCGAGGCCUUCAAUGGGCGGCUACGCGCAGAAUGUCUCAACGCAUCAUGGUUCCUGUCGAUGGCUGACGAUGGCUGACGCCAUCGAUCGACUCGACGAAUGGAGGUGCCAUUACAACAACGACAGACCCCAUACCUCGCUCGGCAACUUGACCCCGAACGAGUUCGCACGACAAACUCAAACAGCCCG
rnacentral:misc_RNA from 1 species